AUUGAACGCUGGCGGCAUGCCUUACACAUGCAAGUCGAACGGCAGCACGGGAGCAAUCCUGGUGGCGAGUGGCGAACGGGUGAGUAAUGUAUCGGAACGUACCUUUCAGUGGGGGAUAACGUAGCGAAAGUUACGCUAAUACCGCAUAUUCUGUGAGCAGGAAAGCAGGGGAUCGCAAGACCUUGCGCUGAUUGAGCGGCCGAUAUCAGAUUAGCUAGUUGGUGAGGUAAAGGCUCACCAAGGCGACGAUCUGUAGCGGGUCUGAGAGGAUGAUCCGCCACACUGGAACUGAGACACGGUCCAGACUCCUACGGGAGGCAGCAGUGGGGAAUUUCGGACAAUGGGCGCAAGCCUGAUCCAGCCAUGCCGCGUGAGUGAAGAAGGCCUCGGUU
rnacentral:rRNA from 1 species